rnacentral:rRNA from 1 species
UUAACACAUGCAAGUCGAGGGGCAUCAUGAGGUAGCAAUACCUUGAUGGCGACCGGCGCACGGGUGAGUAACGCGUAUGCAACCUGCCCGAUACCGGGGGAUAGCCUUUCGAAAGAAAGAUUAAUACCGGAUGGCAUAGUUUUUCCGCAUGGGAUAAUUAUUAAAGAAUUUCGGUUGUCGAUGGGGAUGCGUUCCAUUAGGCAGUUGGCGGGGUAACGGCCCACCAAACCAACGAUGGAUAGGGGUUCUGAGAGGAAGGUCCCCACAUUGGAACUGAGACACGGUCCAAACUCC